CAGCAGCCACGGUAAUACAGAGGGUGCGAGCGUUAAUCGGAUUUACUGGGCGUAAAGCGUGCGUAGGCGGCUUCUUAAGUCGGAUGUGAAAUCCCUGAACUUAACUUAGGAAUUGCAUUCGAUACUGGGAAGCUAGAGUAUGGGAGAGGAUGGUAGAAUUCCAGGUGUAGCGGUGAAAUGCGUAGAGAUCUGGAGGAAUACCGAUGGCGAAGGCAGCCAUCUGGCCUAAUACUGACGCUGAGGUACGAAAGCAUGGGGAGCAAACAGGAUUAGAUACCCGAGUAGUCCCUGUCUCUUAUAC
rnacentral:rRNA from 1 species